CAGAGUUCAUGCCCUUACGGGUAGAUCUCCCACCCUUUGUUAUCAUUACCUUUGUUGCUUUGGCGGGCCGCCAGGCCUCGGUCAGGCUACCGGCUCCGGCUGGUAAGCGCCCGCCAGAGGACCCCAAACUCUGAAUAUUAGUGUCGUCUGAGUACUAUAUAAUAGUUA
rnacentral:misc_RNA from 1 species